rnacentral:rRNA from 1 species
CGCGUAGGCGGUUUACACAGUCAGAUGUGAAAUCCCCGAGCUCAACUUGGGAACUGCGUUUGAAACUAUCAAGCUAGAAUAUGUCAGAGGGGGGUAGAAUUCCACGUGUAGCAGUGAAAUGCGUAGAGAUGUGGAGGAAUACCAAUGGCGAAGGCAGCCCCCUGGGAUAAUAUUGACGCUCAUGCACGAAAGCGUGGGGAGCAAACAGGAUUAGAUACCCUGGUA